UAUAAAUUUACUUGUAUUCAAAAAUCUUUUUUUUUUAAGUAUUAACCAAUUUAAAAAGGAAAAUUCAAAUAAGAAUAAUUGUACCAAUUGGGCUUUAGUGUGUUUAUUGUACAUUGAAUCCCGUUCCAGCACUACGACGGAGAUCGACCACCGCCGCAGGAGUUCUGGGGGGCGCAGCGAAAAAAGAGGAUCGAUUUGUGGAAGCAAGACCACCACCCCCAAAGCCGACGAGCUAGAGCCGGAUGCUAUAGCGUGCCCCGCACCCUCAGAUCGCCCAGUUCAGCCUAGCGUUGUUUAUCGUUGCACGUUACAGUGUCUACAUGCUCGCCUAUAUUUGCAUGUUUAUGCAUAUGAAGUAUUUCAAUGUGCAGUUGCCUCGCAGACAACCAGCUAACGCACGUCAAUUUUGAAGAAGACGAAAACAAUAGCUUGUGUCUGAGAUGUUUGCAGUUAAAUGAAGCCUGCACAAGGUCUGCGUUGGCUCUGCCGAGAGUUUGUGAGUCUGCUAUACACUAGAUGUAACUCGUCAAGAUCUAACGGUUAAUUAAUCAACGGAAAUCAUAAUCAUACAGCGUGUAUGUAGAUCACUAAUACA